rnacentral:lncRNA from 1 species
AAAUAUUUAAGUUGUAUUAAUAUUAAUAAUAACCCUUUAUUCACUUUUAGCGUAUUACAUUUUGGCGCCUAAUGUGCCUGGUAUGGUUGAUUCUCUAAAUGAUCUGAAGUUUCCUGUAAAGUCAGAAAAUGCUCUCUCUCUGUGGCCAUGGACACGUGCACACACACAGUGAACAUUCAAUCAACCCUUUUUGAUCUACGUGAUUCCACCCAAACAUUUUUCCUCACCAAAUCCCUGAAGUUUUUUUGUUGUUGUUAAAUUUACUAAUUUAGUCAGUAAGAAAGAUAAGCAAGAAUGUAUUGGCGAAGUCACCUAUCUCUUCAAACAGCUGAUGUUCCUGCAAAUCAGAAUUGAUUUGAACUAAGGUGAAUGAUAAACAUGCGCUGUCAGACUGCCUCCUGGGAGCCGACUGGCAAAGGUGAUUGUGGAAGAACGAGAUGGAUUGAUGUCCCGGAAAGUGAUGAGGGAGAUCGGGGCCCGGCUUCACACAUCACAGGCAGUGCCCUCCACUCCGACCUGGAGGGCACCACCUCAUGGUGUGAGGGGGGCUCGGGCUCCACAUCCAUUAACUCCUUGGCUUCUCGUUUGAAACUGACAACGGGGUGAUGUGGGCAACUGUCCAUAUGGAACAGGACAGCGACCAUCAACUCAUUCCAUAUGGGCCACCAGACAGCACCUAGAGGUAAUAACAUUCUGUCAAUAGUGACCUGGGUUGGAUUCAAAUCAGUGAUUUAGGGGUGAAAGGCG